CACGGGGGGAGCAAGCGUUGUUCGGAAUCACUGGGCGUAAAGGGCGUGUAGGCGGUCAGGUAAGUGGGAUGUGAAAUGCCCCGGCUCACCCGGGGACCGGCAUCCCAUACUGCUUGGCUUGAGUACGGGAGAGGAUGUGGGAAUUCCUGGUGUAGCGGUGAAAUCCGUAGAUCUACGAAGGAACGCCAAAAGCGAAGGCAGCUCUCUGGGUCCCUACCGACGCUGGGGUGCGAAAGCAUGGGGAGCGAACAGG
rnacentral:rRNA from 1 species